CUGAAUGUACCGGAAGAAUAAGGAUCGGCUAACUCCGUGCAGCAGCCGCGUAUACGGAGGAUCCAAGCGUUAUCCGGAUUUAUUGGUUUAAAGGGUGCGUAGGCGGCCCGUUAAGUCAGGGGUGAAAGACGGUAGCUCAACUAUCGCAGUGCCUUUGAUACUGACGGGCUUGAAUGAACUAGAGGUAGGCGGAAUGAGACAAGUAGCGGUGAAAUGCAUAGAUAUGUCUCAGAACACCGAUUGCGAAGGCAGCUUACUAUGGUUUAAUUGACGCUGAGGCACGAAAGCGUGGGGAUCAAACAGGAUUAGAUACCCUGGUAGUCCACGCCCUAAACGAUGAACACUCGCUGUUGGCGAUACACAGUCAGCGGCUAAGCGAAAGCGUUAAGUGUUCCACCUGGGGAGUACGGUCGCAAGAUUGAAACUCAAAGGAAUUGACGGGGGCCCGCACAAGCGGAGGAGCAUGUGGUUUAAUUCGAUGAUACGCGAGGAACCUUACCCGGGCUUGAAAGUUAGUGAAUCAUUUAGAGAUAAAUGAGUGAGCAAUCACACGAAACUAGGUGCUGCAUGGCUGUCGUCAGCUCGUGCCGUGAGGUGUUGGGUUAAGUCCCGCAACGAGCGCAACCCCUAUGUUUAGUUGCCAGCACGUUAAGGUGGGGACUCUAAACAGACUGCCUGUGCAAACAGAGAGGAAGGAGGGGACGACGUCAAGUCAUCAUGGCCCUUACGUCCGGGGCUACACACGUGCUACAAUGGAUGGUACAGCGGGCAGCUACAUAGCAAUAUGAUGCGAAUCUCACAAAGCCAUUCACAGUUCGGAUUGGGGUCUGCAACUCGACCCCAUGAAGUUGGAUUCGCUAGUAAUCGCGUAUCAGCAAUGACGCGGUGAAUACGUUCCCGGGCCUUGUACACACCGCCCGUCAAGCCAUGGAUAGUUGGGGGUACCUAC
rnacentral:rRNA from 1 species